AUGAGGAUUCGCUGCCGUGAGGAGGACCCCGGCCCGUAUGAUGUCCACCGGAAGGUCACACACUUCCUUGGCUCGCUCAGACUGGCUCCAUUGAUGGCUUCUCGAAGUUCCGAGCAAGCCUUGUCGCGGCGCUGCAAGUGUUGCCCCUUCCUCCCCAAGGGCAAGGUGAAGGAAGGUGCAUGUGUGGUUCUUCUGCAGCUCGCAGCGAGGCGCUGCAAGUGUUGCCCCUUCCUCCCCAAGGGCAAGGUGAAGGAAGGUGCAUGUGUGGUUCUUCUGCAGCUCGCAGCGAGGAUUGCUGUGUCUAACCUGCACAAGAAUGCCAAGAAGUCCUUCUCGGAGACGAUUAAGGACAUGUACCCGCACUACAACAAGAGAUCUGGGCUGCUUCUUUGUGGCUUCUAA
rnacentral:rRNA from 1 species